GGACAUGCUCAAUUGAAUUAUGUAGGCGGAACAUGCUCUCACAGAGAAGUUCUACAGACUUUGACCAAGUUUUGUUUCCCCUUCUAUGUGGACAGUUUGCAGUUAGCACUGUCAAAUGGAUAUGCCAGAUUCUGAGGCCCACAAAGC